rnacentral:rRNA from 1 species
AAUCCAUAGGUUAAUGAGGCGAACCGGGGGAACUGAAACAUCUAAGUACCCCGAGGAAAAGAAAUCAACCGAGAUUCCCCCAGUAGCGGCGAGCGAACGGGGAGGAGCCCAGAGCCUGAAUCAGCAUGUGUGUUAGUGGAAGCGUCUGGAAAGGCGCGCGAUACAGGGUGACAGCCCCGUACACAAAAGCGCAUGUGCUGUGAGCUCGAUGAGUAGGGCGGGACACGUGGUAUCCUGUCUGAAUAUGGGGGGACCAUCCUCCAAGGCUAAAUACUCCUGACUGACCGAUAGUGAACCAGUACCGUGAGGGAAAGGCGAAAAGAACCCCGGCGAGGGGAGUGAAAAAGAACCUGAAACCGUGUACGUACAAGCAGUGGGAGCACCCUUCGGGGUGUGACUGCGUACCUUUUGUAUAAUGGGUCAGCGACUUAUAUUCUGUAGCAAGGUUAACCGUAUAGGGGAGCCGGAGGGAAACCGAGUCUUAAUUGGGCGUUAAGUUGCAGGGUAUAGACCCGAAACCCGGUGAUCUAGCCAUGGGCAGGUUGAAGGUUGGGUAACACUAACUGGAGGACCGAACCGACUAAUGUUGAAAAAUUAGCGGAUGACCUGUGGCUGGGGGUGAAAGGCCAAUCAAACCGGGAGAUAGCUGGUUCUCCCCGAAAGCUAUUUAGGUAGCGCCUCGUGAAUUCAUCUCCGGGGGUAGAGCACUGUUUCGGCUAGGGGGCCAUCCCGGCUUACCAACCCGAUGCAAACUGCGAAUACCGGAGAAUGUUAUCACGGGAGACACACGGCGGGUGCUAACGUCCGUCGUGAAGAGGGAAACAACCCAGACCGCCAGCUAAGGUCCCAAAGUCAUGGUUAAGUGGGAAACGAUGUGGGAAGGCCCAGACAGCCAGGAUGUUGGCUUAGAAGCAGCCAUCAUUUAAAGAAAGCGUAAUAGCUCACUGGUCGAGUCGGCCUGCGCGGAAGAUGUAAC